rnacentral:rRNA from 1 species
GAUGAACGCUGGCGGCGUGCCUAAUACAUGCAAGUCGAACGCUGAAGGAAGGAGCUUGCUCUUUCCGGAUGAGUUGCGAACGGGUGAGUAACGCGUAGGUACCCUGCCUGGUAGCGGGGGAUAACUAUUGGAAACGAUAGCUAAUACCGCAUAACAGUAGAUGUUGCAUGAUAUCUACUUAAAAGGUGCAAUUGCAGCACUACCAGAUGGACCUGCGUUGUGUUAGCUAGUUGGUGAGGUAACGGCUCACCAAGGCGAGGAUACAUAGCCGAACUGAGAGGGUGAUCGGCCACCCUGGGAGGGGGACACGGCCCAGAGGCCUACGGGAGGCAGCAGUAGGGAAUCGGCGGCAAUGGACGGGAGUCUUACCGAGCAGGGCGGAGUGAGUGAAGAAGGGUGUCGGAUCGGAAAGCUCGGUUUUAAGUGAAGAACGAGUUUGAGAGUGGAAAGUUCACACUGUGACGGUAUCUGAACAGAAAGCGACGGCUAACUACGUG